rnacentral:rRNA from 1 species
UUCUUCGGAGAGUUUGAUCCUGGCUCAGGAUGAACGCUGGCGGCGUGCCUAAUACAUGCAAGUCGAGCGAACUGAUUAGAAGCUUGCUUCUAUGACGUUAGCGGCGGACGGGUGAGUAACACGUGGGCAACCUGCCUGUAAGACUGGGAUAACUUCGGGAAACCGAAGCUAAUACCGGGUAGGAUCUUCUCCUUCAUGGGAGAUGAUUGAAAGAUGGUUUC